rnacentral:rRNA from 1 species
UACGGGGGGGGCAAGCGUUGUUCGGAAUUACUGGGCGUAAAGGGCUCGUAGGCGGCCAACUAAGUCGGAUGUGAAAUCCCCAGGCUCAACCUGGGAACUGCAUCCGAUACUGGAUGGCUUGAAUCCGGGAGAGGGAUGCAGAAUUCCAGGUGUAGCGGUGAAAUGCGCAGAUAUCAGGAGGAACACCGGUGGCGAAGGCGGGUCUCUGGGCCGAUACUGACGCUGAGGAGCGAAAGCGUGGGGAGCGAACAGG